GUCCCAUUGCUGUGUGUGUGCUAUUACAAAGCUGCUGAUGGUGGUGGAGGUUCAUUCACUGGAUGUCAGGUUGAGAGUUCCUGGCUUCACCAUGGUGGAGGGGUUGGUCCAGGUUGGGAUACUCUGGCUGAAUGUGUUCUGGACUGUACUCAGUACUGCAGAUUCAGAGUGUGGAGUUCGCUUGAGUUCUACGGAUUUAUUUGGGCUUUUGCAGUGGAGUUGCGACGGCCUCACCCCAAAUGCCACCUUCAGUGUUCAGAUCAGAGAGCAGGGGCCUGGUUACCCCUGGCGUGCUGUGGCGCAGUGUGAGGGGAUCUCGUCUCUGAGCUGUGACCUGUCCCAGGAGAUCACAGACUUCAGGGACCUCGUCCGACUGGGAGUACAGGAAAGCCAAGGGACCCGGUGGACUCCCAAUCUCACAUGUGACCUGCUGGGUGAGUUUCUCCUCUUUACUCUCUUUCUUUUUCGUUUUCUUCUUGCUCAGUCUUUCUUUGUCUUUGUCUCUCUUUCACUGUCUUGCCUUUCCCUCUCCCUGUCCUAGUGUUGGGCUGCAGUUCCAAAUGUAUACAUACGGGGGCGCUUAAAGUACCUUAUCAUCUUAUUCCCUAUCUGGAAUCCCAUACUGAGCAGGACUACAGAUGGUUGUGCCACAUAAAC
rnacentral:lncRNA from 1 species